rnacentral:rRNA from 1 species
GACGAACCGUCCAAACGUUAUUCGGAAUUACUGGGCUUAAAGGGUGCGUAGGCGGUCCGUUAAGUUGGGUGUGAAAGACCUCGGCCUAACCGAGGAAUGGCGCCCAAAACUAGCGGACUUGAGCAAGGCAGAGGUGAACGGAACUUAGGGUGGAGCGGUGAAAUGCGUUGAUAUCCUAAGGAACACCAGUAGCGAAAGCGGUUCACUGGGCCUUUUCUGACGCUGAGGCACGAAAGCCAGGGGAGCGAACGGG